GUGAUUUUUGUCUGUUUUUGCUCUGUUUUUCCCCAUUUUUUGGUGGUUUUUGUCCAUUCCUGCUUUGGUUUCCCCGUUUUUAGGUGAUUUUUGUCCAUUCCUCAUUUGGGUUCCCCAUUUUUAGGUGAUUUUUGUCCAUUCCUCAUUUGGGUUCCCCAUUUUUAGGUGAUUUUUGUCUGUUCUUGCUGUGUUUUUCCCCAUUUUUAGGUGAUUUUUGUCUCUUUUUGCUUUGUUUUCCCCCAUUUUUAGGUGAUUUUUGUCCCUUCCUGAUUUGGGUUCCCCAUUUUCAGGUGAUUUUUGUCUGUUUUUGCUUUGUUUUUCCCCAUUUUUAGGUGAUUUUUGUCCCUUCUUGCUUUGCUUCACCUCAUUCCCAGGGGGGUUUCACCCUUCCCCAUCCACUUUGUCCCCAUUUUUAGGUGAUUUUUGUCCCUUCCUGAUUUGGUUUCCCCAUUUUCAGGUGAUUUUUGUCUGUUCUUGCUGUGUUUUUCCCCAUUUUUAGGUGAUUUUUGUCUCUUUUUGCUUUGUUUUUCCCCAUUUUUAGGUGAUUUUUGUCUGUUCUUGCUUUGUUUUCCCCCAUUUUUAGGUGAUUUUUGUCUGUUCUUGCUUUGUUUUCCCCCAUUUUUAGGUGAUUUUUGUCUGUUCUUGCUUUGUUUUCCCCCAUUUUUAGGUGAUUUUUGUCUGUUUUUGCUCUGUUUUCCCCAUUUUUAGGUGAUUUUUGUCCAUUCCUGCUUUGCUUCGCCUCCUUCCCGCGGGGGUUUGGCCCUUCCACAUCCGCUUUGUCCCCGUUUUUGGGUGAUUUUUGGUUUGCUUUGCCCCAUUUUUAGGUGAUUUUUGUCUGGUUUUGCUUUGUUUUUCCCCAUUUUUAGGUGAUUUUUGUCUGUUCUUGCUCUGUUUUCCCCCAUUUUUAGGUGAUUUUUGUCCAUUCCUCAUUUGGGUUCCCCAUUUUUAGGUGAUUUUUGUCUGUUCUUGCUGUGUUUUUCCCCAUUUUUAGGUGAUUUUUGUCCAUUCCUGCUUUGCUUCGCCUCCUUCCCGCGGGGAUUUGGCCCUUCCACAUCCGCUUUGUCCCCGUUUUUAGGUGAUUUUUGUCUCUUUUUGCUUUGUUUUUCCCCAUUUUUAGGUGAUUUUUGUCUCUUUUUGCUUUGUUUUUCCCCAUUUUUAGGUGAUUUUUGUCCCUUCCCGAUUUGGUUUCCCCGUUUUCAGGUGAUUUUUGUCUGUUUUUGCUCUGUUUUUCCCCAUUUUUUGGUGGUUUUUGUCCAUUCCUGAUUUGGUUUCCCCAUUUUUAAGUGAUUUUUGUCCCUUCCUGAUUUGGUUUCCCCAUUUCCAGGUGACUUUUCCCUUCCUCUGCCUCAGUUUCUCUCUCUCCACGUUACCUUUCACAUUUCCCCAUUUUCUCGCUGCUUUCCCACAUCCCUGCCUCAGUUUCCCCCAAUUAAAUGUCAAUUAAAACCUUUAAUUCCCUUUGUUUUCAUUUUCAUUUUUCCUGCCUCAAUUCCUGCAUUUUC